GAGUGCUCUCCUCACAUAUAUUUUUUUUAAAAAAAAGGAAUGAUACAGAGAAGCCUAGCAUAUCUCCUGUGCCAGGAUGAUAUGCAAAUUUGUGAAGCGUUCCAUAUUGGG
ensembl:snRNA U6 U6 spliceosomal RNA